CAAAAUGAAAAUUUUGUCAUUAAUUUAUUAUUGGUUAAAAAAAAAAAAACAUUCAAAAACACAUAUUGAGAUAUCGAUAAAGUGUGCAUGCUCUAGAGAGUUCUGCUCACAGAGCCAGUGUUCAUGUAGCUCUGUAUAUAGCUGUGAACGUUAUACAUCUGAAUGAGAGACUUAAAGAGGAAACUGUAGUUAGAGCAAAAGUGACACAUUUUCUAAAACUAUUUCUCAGGCUUGCUUAUCUCUCUAGACUACUUAUGAAACCACUCUUCCUCUUUUGCUCACUAUCAGCUUAAUCAGUCAUAUUUCUUUCUCAUUCACAGCCUGAGAGAAUCAACCCAGAGACCAAUCAGAAAGGCUACAACGUCAAGUCUGAUAUCUGGAGUUUAGGAAUCACAAUGGUACGUCUGAGUGACUUUGGAUACUUUUAACACCUUAAUGUUGCUUAAUUGUAACACUUCAUCAUUAUUAUUUUUUAUUUUUUUUAUUUAUGAGAUUAUGCAAUAUUAUGUUUAUUAAAGAGCUUACCAGAUACUUAAUGUGCACUCAAACUUUAUGUAUCAAUAUCAGGGCUGUCAGUUGAUUUUAAUAUUUAUUCACAAUCACAUAAUGUUGUUAUAACUAAUAGGUUAAGAUUUAAAUUUGAUUUGAAAGUUUAAGGCCACUUGAACAAUAUAAAAUAACUUUGUUUUAUAUAAUCUUACACAUCCAAAAAUGAAUUUACAUUUAUAUGAAUGGCAUUUUCUCUUGUCGAGCUUCAGUGAUGAUUAAAUUUCACUUUGCAAAGCGUAAAAAUUGCUUCACGUUGAUUUGAUUUAUAAAUUAUCCAUAAAAAGGGUCUUUCUCUGUUACUUGCUGAUUGUUACAUUAAAAAAUAAAAAAUCAGUGCUGCUUCCUCUGUUGCAUGGCACGUCAUGGUUUGUGAUGGUUGUGUUGUGACGUGUGUUUUUCAUCUUGUCAGAUCGAGCUGGCCAUUCUGAGGUUUCCCUAUGACUCAUGGGGAACGCCAUUUCAGCAGCUCAAGCAGGUGGUGGAAGAGCCGUCGCCCCAGCUGCCUGCAGACCGCUUCUCACCCGAGUUUGUGGACUUCACAUCACAAUGCUUAAGGAAGAAUUCCAAAGAGCGGCCAACUUACACAGAACUAAUGGUGAGUUAAUUUUUUUUUUUUUUUUUUUUUUUUUUUUUUUUUUUUGGUGAACAAACACUUCCCUGGAUUGGCCUUUAGGUGUCAGACUUGUGCUUUCGAUGCAGACUUGUUUGGUAGUUGACAGCAGUUUGACUUGCUGUAUUUUAUCCAAUACUAUUGCAAAUAAAAAUCUUGUGUGUGUGUAUGUUUAUGUAUAC
ensembl:lncRNA